GAUGAACGCCGGCGGCGUGCUUAACACAUGCAAGUCGAACGGGAAACCUUUUAAAGAAGCUUCGGCAGAUUUAGCUGGUUUCUAGUGGCGGACGGGUGAGUAACGCGUGGGUAACCUGCCUUGUACAGGGGGAUAACAGUCAGAAAUGACUGCUAAUACCGCAUAAGCGCACAGGACCGCAUGGUCCGGUGUGAAAAACUCCGGUGGUAUAAGAUGGACCCGCGUUGGAUUAGCUGGUUGGUGGGGUAACGGCCUACCAAGGCGACGAUCCAUAGCCGGCCUGAGAGGGUGAACGGCCACAUUGGGACUGAGACACGGCCCAGACUCCUACGGGAGGCAGCAGUGGGGAAUAUUGCACAAUGGGGGAAACCCUGAUGCAGCGACGCCGCGUGAAGGAAGAAGUAUCUCGGUAUGUAAACUUCUAUCAGCAGGGAAGAAAAUGACGGU
rnacentral:rRNA from 1 species